rnacentral:misc_RNA from 1 species
CACAUAUCAGAGGAAACAAUUGAAGGAUAGAAGCUAUCCUUUGAAGUCAAAAUCCUGAUGAAGUUCUAAUCAAAUUUGUGAUUUGAAUCUGUAGCUUGUUUGGUUGUACAAGCAAGUUAGGUUCAAGCCUAACUAUGCUGUACACUUUCAAACCUUUACGGCCAAGACUCUAGUUCUUGAAAUUUAUUGAUUCAGCACUUGCAAGUUGAUCCAGAA